rnacentral:tRNA from 1 species
GCUCCCUUAGCUCAGUUGGCCAGAGCAAUUGACUCUUAAUCAAUGGGCCGGGGGUUCGAAUCCCCCAGGGAGCACCA